UACGUAGGGGGGCGAGCGUUGUCCGGAUUCAUUGGGCGUAAAGCGCGCGUAGGCGGCUCCGCAAGUCGGCCGUGAAAUCUCCGGGCUCAACUCGGAGGGGUCGGGCGAGACUGCGGGGCUCGAGGUGGGCAGAGGGCAGUGGAAUUCCGGGUGUAGUGGUGGAAUGCGUAGAGAUCCGGAGGAACACCAGUGGCGAAGGCGGCUGCCUGGGCCUGGCCUGACGCUGAGGCGCGAAAGCGUGGGGAGCGAUCCGG
rnacentral:rRNA from 1 species